UAAAUUUUCCUCCCUUUGCAUUAUACCAAUUUUUUGAUCUUCUUUCCAUCUAGCACUUAGUUGCCCAUAUUGAAACCAAGUAUAAUUCCUCCCUUCUUCAUUUAAUACCUGUAAUGAUUUUAAUUGCAAGCUACCUCCUUCAGCAUACAAAAGUUCUUUAUAAGUAAUCAUUUCCUGUUUCUGUUCUAUAUUUAUAUUCUCUAUUGCAUGUCUGGGGCUCGCCCAUAUAGGAAUCUUAUAGUCUAGUUUAUAGGAAUAUUUUUUCCAGACCCGCAAAAGAGCACUUCUCAACACAUGACUCUUAAAAGCCCUAUCCACUUUUUUUUCAUAAAAUAAAUACGCAUGCCAUCCAUAUAAUAAGUCAUAACCUUCUAUAUUCAAAAUUCUUUCCUCCGUUAAAUUAAACCAGUCACUUAUUACUGAAAGGGCUACUGCUUCAUAAUAUAGUUUAAAAUUAGGCAUUUUUAGGCCUCCUCUUUCCCGUGAGUCCUGAAUUAUUUUCAUUUUAACCCUCGCCUUUUUACCUUGCCAUAUAAAUUUAUUAAUCCCAAUCUGCCAUUCCUCCAAUUUUUUAUCUUUCUUGAUUAUUGGUAUCAUUUUUAUUUUAUUUUUAUUUAUUUAUUUUUAUUUUAUUAGAUUUUUAUACCGCCCUUCUCCCGAAGGACUCAGGGCUGUGUACAGCCGAAAUAAAAUACAGAGUAUAUACAAUUAAAAGAAAUUAAAAGAAACUAUUAAUAAAUGCCCGAUAAUUUAAAAUUUACAAAUAUUUAAAAUCUCUAAAACCCCAAUUUAAAAUCAACUAUUUAUGCCAGUCCUGCUUGAGUGAAUAAGUAUGUUUUUAGCUCACGACGAAAGGUCCGAAGAUCAGGCACUUGACGUAAGCCAGGGGGGAGUUCGUUCCAGAGCGUCGGUGCUCCCACAGAGAAGGCCCUACCCCUGGGAGCCGCCAGCCGACAUUGUUUGGCGGACGGCACCCUGAGAAGGCCCUCUCUGUGAGAGCGUACGGGUCGAUGGGAGGCAUACGGUAACAGCAGGCGGUCUCGUAAGUACCCGGGUCCUAAGCCAUGGAGCGCUUUAAAGGUGGUAACCAGGAUCUUGAAACGCACCCGAAAGACCACAGGAAGGAACAGAAACAAAAAUCUAGGUAACACAUUCAUUUUAAUAUCUUUUUUGUUUCUUUUUUCUCAACAGCUCAAGGUUGACUCAGCCUUUUCGCCUUCUGAGAUAGUCCUUGGCUUAUGACAACAGCUGAGACCAGAAUUUCCAUCAAUCUCAACAUCUAGAGCAAAGGCUGUCAAACUCAGGCUGGAUGCACUGGCCAUGUCCAUGCCCGGUUUAGCAAAGGGGGAAAA